AUUGAACGCUGGCGGCAGGCCUAACACAUGCAAGUCGACCGAGUGGCGGACGGGUGAGUAAUGUAUGGGAAACUGCCUGAUGGAGGGGGAUAACUACUGGAAACGGUGGCUAAUACCGCAUACCAUCAGAUGUACCCAUAUGGGAUUAGCUAGUAGGUGGGGUAAUGGUUCACCUAGGCGACGAUCCCUAGCUGGUCUGAGAGGAUGACCAGCCACACUGGAACGGAGAUACGGUCCAGACUCCUACGGGAGGCAGCAGUGGGGAAUAUGGCACAAUGGGCGCAAGCCUGAUGCAGCCAUGCCGCGUGUAUGAAGAAGGCCUUAGGGUUGUAAAGUACUUUCAGCGGGGAGGCGUUACCCGCAGAAGAAGCACCGGCUAACUCCGUGCCAGCAGCCGCGGUAAUUC
rnacentral:rRNA from 1 species